AGUUUAACCGCCUCGGAUUCAUUUUCAACCACUUUUCUGUGUUUGUAACGCUGACCGAGCGGCGGCGGCGGCUGUUGCUAGUUCCGGUCUGGAGGGAAACUGCCAACUUUCCAAAGGAGGAACAGCGGACCAAUCAGAGGAAGUUUUUUCACAGCAGAGAGGAGACGGCUGCCAUUUGAAGAAGAGACUAAAUGAAACGGAACCGAGGAUCAGCAGAGGAUCUGAACCCAGGAUCAGCAGAGGAUCUGAACCCAGGAUCAGCAGAGGAUCUGAACCCAGGAUCAGCAGAGGAUCUGAACCGAGCCCAAGUUAAUCUGGGGAAUUUACAUAUUUGUUACAACACAAAUGAGUAAAUGAGCAGGUGUGUGAGCAGGAGCGGUGAUGGAACCAGUCCGCUGUCGUCUCUGUCUCCUCUGCAGCCAUUUGGACAAAUCCGUCCCCGGGGCUCCGGACACCUUCAGCGGGCUCUGGGAGUGGCCGUGGGAGAGUUUGCACUCAGGUUCUGAUCCGCUUUGAUGUGGACGGCACAGCGUCGGGGAGCGAGGCCAUCCGGGGAGAAAGGCAAAGAAAAGAGGCUUCAUUAUUUCAGACAGCUGUCAGCCGGCCACGUUCAAUUAGCAGCAAUUCGUUUGUCAGGCUGGGAACACAAAGCAGCUGCAGGACGGAUAAACAACGGAGCCGGUUCCUUUCUGAUGUUGAGCUGAGCCACAAAACGAGAGACAAAGAUUCAACCAGCAGACUGAGCCUGUUCCAGGUUCCAGGUUCCAGGUUCCAGGUUCCAGUCUGAGACUCCAGUGUUGCACUGGAAACCAGCAAAACAUCUCAGAUGAUGAGUGAAAUGAUAAAAACGGACCUGAACUCGUCGUCUGUAAUGAACUCCAACCUUUUGCUCUCUGGUUUCAGAGUUCAUCAUGAUGCAGACGGAUUCUCCUCAUGUCUCUCCAGACCCGGUCGCUCCUGGUUCCUGUUGGUUCUGCUUCACGUCAGAACAAACAUGAUGAUCUGGGCUUCAGUUUGGACCUGCUGUGCGUUUCAACACCACAGUGACCUGGAUGUUGUUGCUGCCUUGAUGCAGCUUUCAUAUCAAUAUGGACCCAAACCUCUGAUGAUAUGAAGAGUCGGUGGUUCUGAAGGAAAAACGGAUCCAAGCUAAUGGUACCGAGGUGUACCUAAUAAAGUGGAGAUCUGUUGAAGCAAA